UGUGGUAAAGGCAUACCAAGGCAACGAUCAGUAGCCGGACUGAGAGGUUGAACGGCCACAUUGGGACUGAGAUACGGCCCAGACUCCUACGGGAGGCAGCAGUGGGGGAUAUUGCACAAUGGGGGAAACCCUGAUGCAGCGACGCCGCGUGAAGGAAGAAGGCCUUCGGGUUGUAAACUUCUGUCGUACGGGACGAUAAUGACGGUACCGUACAAGAAAGCCACGGCUAACUAC
rnacentral:rRNA from 1 species